rnacentral:rRNA from 1 species
AUUGAACGCUGGCGGCAGGCCUAACACAUGCAAGUCGAACGAGCGGCGGACGGGUGAGUAAUGUCUGGGAAACUGCCCGAUGGAGGGGGAUAACUACUGGAAACGGUGGCUAAUCCCGCAUACUAUAGGAUGCGCCCAUAUGGGAUUAGCUAGUAGGUGGGGUAACGGCUAACCUAGGCGACGAUCCCUAGCUGGUCUGAGAGGAGGAACAGCCACACUUGAACUGAGACACGGUCCAGACUCCUACGGGAGGCAGCAGUGGGGAAUAUUGCACAAUGUGCGCAAGCCUGAUGCAGCCAUGCCGCGUGUAUGAAGAAGGCCUUAGGGUUGUAAAGUACUUUCAGCGAGGAGGCGUUACUCGCAGAAGAAGCACCGGCUAACUCCGUGCCAGCAGCCGCGGUAAUAC